AGGACGAACGCUGGCGGCGUGCUUAACACAUGCAAGUCGAGCGGUAAGGCCCUUUCGGGGGUACACGAGCGGCGAACGGGUGAGUAACACGUGGGUGACCUGCCCUUAGCUCUGGGAUAAGCCUGGGAAACUGGGUCUAAUACCGGAUAUGACCUCGCGAUGCAUGUCGUGGGGUGGAAAGCCUUGUGCGGCUAGGGAUGGGCCCGCGGCCUAUCAGCUUGUUGGUGGGGUGAUGGCCUACCAAGGCGACGACGGGUAGCCGGCCUGAGAGGGCGACCGGCCACACUGGGACUGAGACACGGCCCAGACUCCUACGGGAGGCAGCAGUGGGGAAUCUUGCGCAAUGGGCGAAAGCCUGACGCAGCGACGCCGCGUGAGGGAUGACGGCCUUCGGGUUGUAAACCUCUUUCAGCCCUGACGAAGCGAAAGUGACGGUAGGGCGAGAAGAGCACCGGCCAACUACGCGCCAGCAGCCGCGGUAA
rnacentral:rRNA from 1 species